rnacentral:rRNA from 1 species
CCGCAAGGUUAAAACUCAAAUGAAUUGACGGGGGCCCGCACAAGCGGUGGAGCAUGUGGUUUAAUUCGAUGCAACGCGAAGAACCUUACCCACUCUUGACAUCCAGAGAAUUCGCUAGAGAUAGCUUAGUGCCUUCGGGAACUCUGAGACAGGUGCUGCAUGGCUGUCGUCAGCUCGUGUUGUGAAAUGUUGGGUUAAGUCCCGCAACGAGCGCAACCCUUAUCCUUUGUUGCCAGCACGUAAUGGUGGGAACUCAAAGGAGACUGCCGGUGAUAAACCGGAGGAAGGUGGGGAUGACGUCAAGUCAUCAUGGCCCUUACGAGUAGGGCUACACACGUGCUACAAUGGCGUAUACAAAGAGAAGCGAACUCGCGAGAGCAAGCGGACCUCAUAAAGUACGUCGUAGUCCGGAUCGGAGUCUGCAACUCGACUCCGUGAAGUCGGAAUCGCUAGUAAUCGUAGAUCAGAAUGCUACGGUGAAUACGUUCCCGGGCCUUGUACACACCGCCCGUCACACCAUGGGAGUGGGUUGCAAAAGAAGUAGGUAGCUUAACCUUCGGGAGGGCGCUUACCACUUUGUGAUUCAUGACUGGGGUG